UCUAAGGAACUCGGCAAAAUAACCCCGUAACUUUGGGAGAAGGGGUACCCUAUGGGUUGCAAUAACAAGGUCCAAGCGACUGUUUAUCAAAAACACAGGUCUCCGCAAAGUCGUAAGACGAUAUAUGGGGGCUGACACCUGCCCAGUGCCGGAAGGUUAAGGAAGCUUGUUAGUCUUUGACGAAGCUCGCGACCGAAGCCCCGGUGAACGGCGGCCGUAACAAUAACGGU
rnacentral:rRNA from 14 species